CGUACACUCCUGCGGGAGGCAGCAGUGGGGAAUUUUGGACAAUGGGCGAAAGCCUGAUCCAGCCAUGCCGCGUGCAGGAUGAAGGCCUUCGGGUUGUAAACUGCUUUUGUACGGAACGAAACGGCCUUUUCUAAUAAAGAGGGCUAAUGACGGUACCGUAAGAAUAAGCACCGGCUAACUACGUGCCAGCAGCCGCGGUAAUACGUAGGGUGCAAGCGUUAAUCGGAAUUACUGGGCGUAAAGCGUGCGCAGGCGGUUAUGUAAGACAGUUGUGAAAUCCCCGGGCUCAACCUGGGAACUGCAUCUGUGACUGCAUAGCUAGAGUACGGUAGAGGGGGAUGGAAUUCCGCGUGUAGCAGUGAAAUGCGUAGAUAUGCGGAGGAACACCGAUGGCGAAGGCAAUCCCCUGGACCUGUACUGACGCUCAUGCACGAAAGCGUGGGGAGCAAACAGGAUUAGAUACCCCUGUAGUCCC
rnacentral:rRNA from 1 species